AUUGAACGCUGGCGGCAGGCCUAACACGUGCAAGUCGAGCGGAUGAAGGGAGCUUGCUCCUGGAUUCAGCGGCGGACGGGUGAGUAAUGCCUAGGAAUCUGCCUGGUAGUGGGGGAUAACGUCCGGAAACGGGCGCUAAUACCGCAUACGUCCUGAGGGAGAAAGUGGGGGAUCUUCGGACCUCACGCUAUCAGAUGAGCCUAGGUCGGAUUAGCUAGUUGGUGGGGUAAAGGCCUACCAAGGCGACGAUCCGUAACUGGUCUGAGAGGAUGAUCAGUCACACUGGAACUGAGAUACGGUCCAGACUCCUACGGGAGGCAGCAGUGGGGAAUAUUGGACAAUGGGCGAAAGCCUGAUCCAGCCAUGCCGCGUGUGUGAAGAAGGUCUUCGGAUUGUAAAGCACUUUAAGUUGGGAGGAAGGGCAGUAAGUUAAUACCUUGCUGUUUUGACGUUACCAACAGAAUAAGCACCGGCUAACUUCGUG
rnacentral:rRNA from 1 species